rnacentral:rRNA from 1 species
GACGGAGGAUGCAAGCGUUAUCCGGAAUUAUUGGGCGUAAAGCGUCCGCAGGUGGCUGUUCAAGUCUGCUGUCAAAGCGCAGAGCUUAACUCUGUACAGGCGGUGGAAACUGAAGAGCUAGAGUAUGGUAGGGGUAGAGGGAAUUCCCGGUGUAGCGGUGAAAUGCGUAGAGAUCAGGAAGAACAUCGGUGGCGAAGGCGCUCUGCUGGACCAUAACUGACACUCAGGGACGAAAGCUAGGGGAGCGAAUGGG